GUGGUGUCGAGAAUCGAACCCAGUACCUCAUGCACACUAGGCGAGCGCGCUACCACUUGAGCCACAUCCCCAACCCCAUUUUUUAAGUUUUUUUUCCUGAGAUUUUUUUCCCCCCAUUUCUUUUGCCAUUUUUCUUGGCAGUCACAUUAGAAAUUUUCCCAGUAUGUUUAUCUGGUGAUGUGAAGAAAAUUCUCUGUACGCAGUCUGCUAUGCAAGUGAAUUGGGACACUCAGUCUGUUGACAGUAUUAAGCACUGGUUUGAUGUCCCAAAACAGUAGAUGUGUUUCCUGUGUUGACCUCAGAGCAGACUCCUCAGCAGGCUUCCCCUGGGGUAAAUGGUGAAUAGCACUGGAGCAGGCAGCAGCCCCUCCCUCACCACUUAGCUGAACCGGAGGUUAAAAUGGGUUCUUGUUAACAUAGUUUAAAUGUUUUAAAUAGCAUUAGUAUUUCUUGUCUAAAAGUAAUAGGCUUCUAUUCAUACAAUCAUUUAUUUCCUUCAAAUAAUCAUUUGUUUCUAGAUUCUGAAACUUUGAGAAUCUCAUGGGCCAGUUGUCAAAAUGCAGAUCCCCAGAGCCAGAAGCUAUCUUUUAAUUGAAGCCUGAUCAGGUAAGUUUCUUAACCCUAGCUACACAAAGAGACCCCCUAAGGAGCUUUUAAAACUACCUGUGCCCCAGAGCAGAAGCCAGGGACCAAGCAGGAGAGGAGGGAAGGGAAAGGCCGGGGAGUGAAGUUGACCAAAUCAUGCUGUGUGCACAUAUGAAUAUGUCACCUUGCAACCCAAUUUUAUAUAUAACUAUAAUGCACCAGUUAAAAAUAAAUAGAAGAAAGACUAAGAGAGGAAGGGGAUCAAAGCUGGGCACUGUGGCACACACCUGUAAUCCUAGCGGCUCAGGAGGCUGAGGCAGGAGGAUUGCAAGUUCAAAGCCAGCCUCAGCAACUUAGCCAGGCCCUAAGCAACUCAGUGAGACUGUGUCUGAAUAAAAUAUAAACGAGGACUGGGGAUGUGGCUCAGUGGUUAAGAAUCCCUGGCUUCAAUCCCUGUUACCAAAGAAAGAAAGGGAUCAAGGGAAGAGAGGAAGGCAGGAAAGAGGAAAUAACAGGGAUUGAAUGGAGCAGAAUAUAUGCAUUUAUGAAUAUUCCAAAAUGAACCCCACUUUUAUACAUGACUAUAAUGCACCAAAAGAGAGGGUUUAAUGAGAAUAGUUUUAGAGAUAAGAAAAUUACCAAUGCCUCAACAUACCCCCAUCACUCCUUAGGUUUUAAUUUCUGAUUGUGGGGUGGUGCCUACACACCAGGUUUUGUUUUGUUUUGUUUAAUUCCCUGGCUAAGGCUAGUGUGCAGUCAGGGUCCAAAACUACUAGUUUUGUACAUGGAACCAAAAUUAACUAGAAAAACCUGUACGUACCUCUUUAGGUCUUUUUUAGACACAUGGACUCUUGAAUGUGGCAAGGGAUCUCACCAGCAUAAGGCUGAGUGAAAGAAGCCAGGUACAGAAGAGAAAUAGUAAUUAGGACUAACUGCUGACAGGUGUGGGGUUUAUUUUGGCAAUAGAAACAUCCUGGAAUUAGUGUUGAUUACACAACAUAGUGAAUAUACUAAAAAACAUUUAGAGUGUACAUUUUAGAGUGGUGAAUUUUAUGUCGAUAUAGACAAAUAGCCUUAAAUACUCCAUCUUUGUAAUUUCGGAAACAGGCAUAGCUAAGCCAAAGUGUUGGAUGCAGGGUAGAGGUUCUCUCUGGGGAGGAAGAGGGAGUGCAGGAGGGC
rnacentral:lncRNA from 1 species